GCGGUAUACAGAUAAGUAAAUUUUGUGGAAAAAUACCGUGUUUUUUACUCGUGAAACAUGAAUAGAUGUUAUAUUGCGCACUGUAAAGACAAUCAAGGCUUCAAAAACACAGAAAGAACGGGACUUUUAAGAUGUUUAGAAAUUAAAGCUUCUUAAAUGUAUUGAAAUUAUAAAGGGAGUAUACAUGUAUGGAUGCAUGCUCAUAUGCAUGUUUUAUAUGUCUGUACAUCAUAGAUGUUCCACAUGAACUCGGUUUGACCGUUGUGGGUUCGUGACGAAUGUUUGCGUGAGGUAGCUAUCCGGCACCCCAUCCUAUUUCGGUCUUGGCCCAUUCAGAGCAACUCUGAAGGAUUUUCUCACUGUGAAAACACACCUGGCCUAAUAAUGACCUUACUAAUACAACAAUAAUGUCGGUGUAAUGUCAGAAUAAUGUCGGAAAAUACAGACAAACCCCCUUUCGUCAUCAACGGGACUCUCUCCCCGAUGAUGUCAUUCAUCUCAACUACCUCUGCGAAGUAAGGACUUCCGUGAGCUCCAUGGUGAUGGGGGUCACGGGGUCAACCACUUAACCGUCGCGUGAAAGAGAUGCUAUGAGUCGCCAACCUGGAGCGAUGUUCGUUUCGGCACACGUCAACAUACGGUAGCCCAGGUUGGAAAAAGUGAGUUAGAGAGCGUGCUUGUAUGUGUGUGUAAAGGUAGGUCUCUUUCUUAAUAGCAUAUGGCCCGCGGCUCUUCACUGUGUUUAUUUAGUGGCCUGAUCCUAAUCCGUUUUGAAAUGUCAAUUUUUACGUAAUCAAAUCACGUCUAUAUUUAGUUUCCUGCAGGCAAGUCAUUACGUUUUAUGUGUUAUGCUUGAUAGAGAAGCUCUUUCUGACAUAACCUCACUUUAGAAACCAGUAGUCACUUGAAUGUUGCAAUUUAGUAAACUUGUAAGAAGCUUUGGUAUAUUUGAGUUAUAUUUCAAAGUAGUUUAGUCUGUAAAUGUAGACAUUGACAGGAUGAUAGUGCUAACACUGCCUUUACAGUCAUCUGUAAGAGAGAUUUUCCUUGAGUUCAGUUGCAUUGCAUUUAUAUGGGAUUCUCUGAAUUUUGCUGUUAUUCUUCAUGUUUUCCCAGUAAUGUUCUUCAAAAGAGUGACACUACUAGGUGUGUGUGUGAAAAGACACUGAGAUGUGGAUUAAAGGGAGCUGUGCAGCUGUGCAGAGCUCUGAGAUUCGAAGAGAGAAACCUGAUCGGAUGAGAAGUUCGGAGCGAAGACGAAACAUAGCGCAUGGGUGCAGAAUAGCAGCGACUGGAUGCUUUUUUCAAUCUGCAGAUACAUGACUGAGUCCACCUCACAGGGAGAGAAACAGAAGGAGAGCAUGAGAAAAAUGAUGAUGACGAUCGUCACCAUGGAAACGGGCAGUGGUUAUACCCCAGUUUAAGGGAAGCACAGCCAGGAGUCCCUCAGGUUACCGAGUGAACGACAGAGGAAAGACUGGAGAGUGAAAAGGUGAAGAACACAGAUAAACAGAAUGAAGCCCAAUGGGGCUCCUCAACAAAAACACUGACGGAGCGCAGCGUGUGUGGCUACGGGGCCAAUCGAACCCCUCUGCAUGUGAGAAGGAAGUUAUGACUAUAGCCCUAUGAAAGAUGUCUUGAUCUAC